rnacentral:rRNA from 1 species
AUUGAACGCUGGCGGCAGGCCUAACACAUGCAAGUCGAACGAGUGGCGGACGGGUAAGUAAUGUAUGGGAAACUGCCUGAUGGAUAUGGAUAACUACUGGAAACGGUAGCUAAUACCGCAUACCAUCGGAUGUUCCCAGAUGGGAUUAGCUGGUAGGUGGGGUAAAGGCUCACCUAGGCGACGAUCCCUAGCUGGUCUGAGAGGAUGACCAGCCACACUGGAACGGAGACACGGUCCAGAGUCUUACGGGAGGAAGCAGUGGGGAAUAUGGCACAAGGGGCGCAAGCCUGAUGCAGCCAUGCCGCGUGUAUGAAGAAGGCCUUCGGGUUGUAAAGUACUUUCAGCGGGGAGGCGUUACUCGCAGAAGAAGCACCGGCUAACUCCGUGCCAGCAGCCGCGGUAAUAC